rnacentral:rRNA from 1 species
GUGGCGAACGGGUGAGUAACACGUGAGUAACCUGCCCAUCACUCUGGGAUAAGCGCUGGAAACGGCGUCUAAUACUGGAUACGAGCAGCGACCGCAUGGUCAGUUGCUGGAAAGACUGGUUUGGUGAUGGAUGGACUCGCGGCCUAUCAGCUUGUUGGUGAGGUAAUGGCUCACCAAGGCGACGACGGGUAGCCGGCCUGAGAGGGUGACCGGCCACACUGGGACUGAGACACGGCCCAGACUCCUACGGGAGGCAGCAGUGGGGAAUAUUGCACAAUGGGCGCAAGCCUGAUGCAGCAACGCCGCGUGAGGGAUGACGGCCUUCGGGUUGUAAACCUCUUUUAGUAGGGAAGAAGCCUUCGGGUGACGGUACCUGCAGAAAAAGCACCGGCUAACUACGUGCCAGCAGCCGCGGUAAUACGUAGGGUGCAAGCGUUGUCCGGAAUUAUUGGGCGUAAAGAGCUCGUAGGCGGCUUGUCGCGUCUGCUGUGAAAACCCGAGGCUCAACCUCGGGCCUGCAGUGGGUACGGGCAAGCUAGAGUGCGGUAGGGGAGAUUGGAAUUCCUGGUGUAGCGGUGGAAUGCGCAGAUAUCAGGAGGAACACCGAUGGCGAAGGCAGAUCUCUGGGCCGUAACUGACGCUGAGGAGCGAAAGCAUGGGGAGCGAACAGGAUUAGAUACCCUGGUAGUCCAUGCCGUAAACGUUGGGAACUAGAUGUAGGGCCUGUUCCACGGGUUCUGUGUCGUAGCUAACGCA